UUAGGCGUCGGCAACCCACCCCGCGGAUGGGGAUAGCCCGGGGGAAACUCGGGGUAAUACCCAGCGACGUGGUGGAGGCGCAUGCGUCUGCCACCAAAGGUGCAAGCCCGCCGCGGGACGGGCCGACGUGGUAUUAGCUGGUUGGCGGGGUAACGGCCCACCAAGGCUGCGAUGCCUAGCAGGCGUGAGAGCGUGGCCUGCGUCACUGGGACUGAGACACUGCCCAG
rnacentral:rRNA from 1 species